CCCAGUCCUAGUGAAGGUAUGUAGGUCUGUGGUAUAGUCUCAGUCCUAGUGAAGGUAUGUAAGUCUGUGGUGUAGUCUCAGUCCUAGUGAAGGUAUGUAAGUCUGUGGUGUAGUCUCAGUCCUAGUGAAGGUAUGUAAGUCUGUGGUGUAGUCUCAGUCCUAGUGAAGGUAUGUAAGUCUGUGGUAUAGUCUCAGUCCUAGUGAAGGUAUGUAAGUCUGUGGUGUAGUCUCAGUCCUAGUGAAGGUAUGUAGGUCUGUGGUAUAGUCUCAGUCCUAGUGAAGGUAUGUAAGUCUGUGGUGUAGUCUCAGUCCUAGUGAAGGUAUGUAAGUCUGUGGUGUAGUCUCAGUCCUAGUGAAGGUAUGUAGGUCUGUGGUAUAGUCUCAGUCCUGUAG
ensembl:lncRNA